AUUGAACGCUGGCGGCAGGCCUAACACAUGCAAGUCGAGCGGAUGAAGGGAGCUUGCUCCUGGAUUCAGCGGCGGACGGGCGAGUAAUGCCUAGGAAUCUGCCUGGUAGUGGGGGAUAACGUCCGGAAACGGGCGCUAAUACCGCAUACGUCCUGAGGGAGAAAGUGGGGGAUCUUCGGACCUCACGCUAUCAGAUGAGCCUAGGUCGGAUUAGCUAGUUGGUGGGGUAAAGGCCUACCAAGGCGACGAUCCGUAACUGGUCUGAGAGGAUGAUCAGUCACACUGGAACUGAGACACGGUCCAGACUCCUACGGGAGGCAGCAGUGGGGAAUAUUGGACAAUGGGCGAAAGCCUGAUCCAGCCAUGCCGCGUGUGUGAAGAAGGUCUUCGGAUUGUAAAGCACUUUAAGUUGGGAGGAAGGGCAGUAAGUUAAUACCUUGCUGUUUUGACGUUACCAACAGAAUAAGCACCGGCUAACUUCG
rnacentral:rRNA from 1 species